GAUGAACGCUAGCGGCAGGCCUAAUACAUGCAAGCCGAACGGCAAGAUUUUCAGCAAUGGAAAUCCUAGAGUGGCGUAAGGGUGCGUAACACGUAUGCAAUCUGCCCUCAACAGGAGGAUAGCUCCCCGAAAGGGGAAUUAAGACUCCAUAAGAUCUUAGAGUGGCAUCACUUAGAGAUUAAACUACCAGGGGUUGAGGAUGAGCAUGCGCAUGAUUAGUUAGUUGGCGGGGUAACGGCCCACCAAGACGAUGAUCAUUAGGGGAACUGAGAGGUUGAUCCCCCA
rnacentral:rRNA from 1 species